rfam:Thiorhodospira sibirica ATCC 700588 ctg130, whole genome shotgun sequence.
CUCCAUGCGGGCGGCUGUGUGCGGGCGUCUUCGGACGCGCCAGCCCAAUGACUGGUAGGUCAACCCAUACAGUCGCCUGCGCCCUU